UACGUAGGGUGCAAGCGUUAAUCGGAAUUACUGGGCGUAAAGCGUGCGCAGGCGGUUAUAUAAGACAGAUGUGAAAUCCCCGGGCCCAACCUGGGAACUGCAUUUGUGACUGCAAGGCUAGAGUACGGCAGAGGGGGAUGGAAUUCCGCGUGUAGCAGUGAAAUGCGUAGAUAUGCGGAGGAACACCAAUGGCGAAGGCAAUCCCCUGGGCCUGUACUGACGCUCAUGCACGAAAGCGUGGGGAGCAAACAGG
rnacentral:rRNA from 1 species